rnacentral:tRNA from 1 species
UCCGGAACAGAUCAACGGAUAGAGCACCUGGCUCUGGAUCAGGAGGUUGGGGGUUCGACUCUCGCUGCAGGAUCGA